rnacentral:lncRNA from 1 species
UUACAAGCAGCAAAAGAUGAAUAGUCUACUUAAACAGACUGUCAUUCAAAACUUGCAAGAGUGUGUCUCCAAAAUAGAUGAGUCUUCCACAGAAAAAACAGAUGAGAAUAGACAGGAUUUUACAUCAGAUUUCUCUGAAAUAGUGGAAGUUAUGGAAGACUAUCUGAGACCAGUGCUGUCACAGUUUGAUUUUUCUGAUACUAGAGAACAGAGUGCAUCAGGUUCAGCAGCUGAAUCAGGAAAAAUAAAAGUAAAAGAUAAAGAUUCCAAACACACAGGAAUACAAGGUACACCUAUGGAGUUAGGAUUGUGUGUGGUAUUAUUGGCAGAUACAUUAUUUAUGGAAUUGCCUUUGGAAGCACUGAGUAUCUUUCAAGAAGAAGGUAUAUGUUCUGUAUCCAGAGAUUUUUCUCUCCAGAUUUUCUACAAUCGAG